GACGAACGCUGGCGGCGCGCCUAACACAUGCAAGUCGAACGAGCGAGAGAGAGCUUGCUUUCUUGAGCGAGUGGCGAACGGGUGAGUAACGCGUGAGGAACCUGCCUCAAAGAGGGGGACAACAGUUGGAAACGACUGCUAAUACCGCAUAAGCCCACGGUGCCGCAUGGCACAGAGGGAAAAGGAGCAAUCCGCUUUGAGAUGGCCUCGCGUCCGAUUAGCUAGUUGGUGAGGUAACGGCCCACCAAGGCGACGAUCGGUAGCCGGACUGAGAGGUUGAACGGCCACAUUGGGACUGAGACACGGCCCAGACUCCUACGGGAGGCAGCAGUAGGGAAUAUUGCACAAUGGGGGAAACCCUGAUGCAGCGACGCCGCGUGGAGGAAGAAGGUCUUCGGAUUGUAAACUCCUGUUGUUGGGGAAGAUAAUGACGGUACCCAGCAAGGAAGUGACGGCUAACUACGUG
rnacentral:rRNA from 1 species